rfam:Glycine soja cultivar W05 scaffold704_4, whole genome shotgun sequence.
ACAUAAAGAAAUCUUAGUUGUCAUGUGUCACGUUCUAAUCGAACAUGAAAAUGUGUGUCCAAGAGCCCACUCUAACAUGUUUUUGUUCAUCGUCCAAUCAAAACGUAAUACGUGACCGUCAACACAA